ACUCUGACCAUUAACGCCNGNUGAGGGAUGAAGGCCUUCGGGUUGUAAACCUCUUUCAGCAGGAAAUAAGCGAAAGUGAAGGUACCUGCAGAAGAAGCACCGGCUAACUAUGUGCCAGCAGCCGCGGUAAUACAUAGGGUGCAAGCGUUGUCCGGAAUUAUUGGGCGUAAAGAGCUCGUAGGUGGUCGAUCACGUCGGAUGUGAAAAUCUGAGGCUUAACCUCAGACCUGCAUUCGAUACGGGUUGACUGGAGUGUGGUAGGGGAGACUGGAAUUCCUGGUGUAGCGGUGGAAUGCGCAGAUAUCAGGAGGAACACCGAUGGCGAAGGCAGGUCUCUGGGCCAUUACUGACACUGAGGAGCGAAAGCGUGGGGAGCGAACAGGAUUAGAUACCCUGGUAGUCCACGCCGUAAACGGUGGGCGCUAGUUGUGGGAACCUUCCACGGGUUUCUGCGACGCAGCUAACGCAUUAAGCGCCCCGACUGGGGAGUACGGUCGCAAGACUAAAAGU
rnacentral:rRNA from 1 species